GACGAACGCUGGCGGCGUGCUUAACACAUGCAAGUCGAACGGUAAGGCCCUUCGGGGUACACGAGUGGCGAACGGGUGAGUAACACGUGGGUGAUCUGCCCCCUACUCUGGGAUAAGCCUGGGAAACUGGGUCUAAUACCGGAUAUGACCUCCUGCUUCAUGGCGGGUGGUGGAAAGUUUUUUCGGUAGGGGAUGAGCCCGCGGCCUAUCAGCUUGUUGGUGGGGUAAUGGCCUACCAAGGCGACGACGGGUAGCCGGCCUGAGAGGGCGACCGGCCACACUGGGACUGAGACACGGCCCAGACUCCUACGGGAGGCAG
rnacentral:rRNA from 1 species